UACGUAGGGUGCGAGCGUUGUCCGGAAUUAUUGGGCGUAAAGAGCUUGUAGGCGGUUUGUCGCGUCUGCCGUGAAAACCCGGGGCUUAACCCCUGGCUUGCAGUGGAUACGGACAGACUAGAGGUAGGUAGGGGAGAAUGGAAUUCCCGGUGUAGCGGUGAAAUGCGCAGAUAUCGAGAGGAACACCGGUGGCGAAGGCGGUUCUCUGGGCCUUACCUGACGCUGAGGAGCGAAAGCGUGGGGAGCGAACAGG
rnacentral:rRNA from 1 species